rnacentral:rRNA from 1 species
GACGAACGCUGGCGGCGCGCUUAACACAUGCAAGUCGAACGGAAAGGCCUGCUUUCCCUUGUGGAUUGCGGGUACUCGAGUGGCGAACGGGUGAGUAACACGUGAGUGAUCUGCCCCCAACUUGGGUAUAAGCCUGGGAAACUGGGUCUAAUUCCCGAUAGGACUGCAGGGUGGUGCCUGUGGUGGAAAACGAUUUUCUAGUGGUUGGGGAUGAGCUCGCGGCCUAUCAGCUUGUUGGUGGGGUAAUGGCCUACCAAGGCGGCGACGGGUAGCCGGCCUGGGAGGGUGGACGGCCACAUUGGGACUGAGAUACGGCCCAGACUCCUACGGGAGGCAGCAGUGGGGAAUAUUGCACAAUGGGCGGAAGCCUGAUGCAGCGACGCCGCGUGGGGGAUGACGGCCUUCGGGGUGUAAACUCCUUUCGACCGCGAGGAAGCCACCUGGUUGGAAGGGUGGUGACGGUAGUGGUAGAGAAGCACCGGCUAACUACGUG